rnacentral:rRNA from 1 species
UCUAUCUGCAGUCGAGCGAAUGAUGAGGAGCUUGCUCCUCUGAUUUAGCGGCGGACGGGUGAGUAACACGUGGGUAAUCUGCCUGUAAGACGGGGAUAACUCCGGGAAACCGGGGCUAAUACCGGAUAAUAAAAAGAAACGCAUUUCUUCUUUUUGAAAGUCGGUUUCGGCUGACACUUACAGAUGAGCCCGCGGCGCAUUAGCUAGUUGGUGAGGUAACGGCUCACCAAGGCGACGAUGCGUAGCCGACCUGAGAGGGUGAUCGGCCACACUGGGACUGAGACACGGCCCAGACUCCUACGGGAGGCAGCAGUAGGGAAUCUUCGGCAAUGGGCGAAAGCCUGACCGAGCAACGCCGCGUGAGCGAUGAAGGCCUUCGGGUCGUAAAGCUCUGUUGUUAGAGAAGAACAAGUACGAGAGUAACUGCUCGUACCUUGACGGUACCUAACCAGAAAGCCACGGCUAACUACGUGCCAGCAGCCGCGGUAAUACGUAGGUGGCAAGCGUUAUCCGGAAUUAUUGGGCGUAAAGCGCGCGCAGGCGGUCUCUUAAGUCUGAUGUGAAAGCCCACGGCUCAACCGUGGAGGGUCAUUGGAAACUGGGAGACUUGAGUGCAGGAGAGAAAAGUGGAAUUCCACGUGUAGCGGUGAAAUGCGUAGAGAUGUGGAGGAACACCAGUGGCGAAGGCGGCUUUUUGGCCUGUAACUGACGCUGAGGCGCGAAAGCGUGGGGAGCAAACAGGAUUAGAUACCCUGGUAGUCCACGCCGUAAACGAUGAGUGCUAGGUGUUGGGGGGUUCCACCCUCAGUGCUGAAGUUAACACAUUAAGCACUCCGCCUGGGGAGUACGACCGCAAGGUUGAAACUCAAAGGAAUUGACGGGGGCCCGCACAAGCAGUGGAGCAUGUGGUUUAAUUCGAAGCAACGCGAGAACCUUACCAGGUCUUGACAUCCUCUGACCACUCUAGAGAUAGAGCUUUCCUCUUCGGGGGAC